CUUUCAAAUUGGUUUACAACAUGCUGUAGAAGUACAUGAAGGAUCAUUGAAUUAUUUCCACAGGGCUGGAGGCGGGUCAAGGAAGAGUGACGUUAUGGAAGACCUAGUGGAGCCAUGCUUAUUUUUUCAUUUAUGCAAUAAAUGAAAAAGAAGAGUGAAAAAGUAAAGCAAUGAUGAAAGGAUAUUCAGGUGUUAUGAAGGGUUGGACCAGGAGUGCCCAGAGACCACGUCUAAGUCUAAUAGUCCUACUAACAAAAAUCUAUAUGUCACUUUUUAUUCAGAGCAGAAGACAAAUAAGAUCAUAUUUGUUAGGCAUCCUGUAAAAAUUGCCAUUAGCCUAAUCAUGUGGCCUAGUAGCUAGAAUACCCUUGGAAGAUACAGGUGCAGCCACCUCAAGGAA
rnacentral:lncRNA from 1 species